CUGAGUUCCAGCAUCAGGAGCCUCCAUGACCAGCCUGACCUGAGCACCUACAGGCAGCACCAGCAUGGGUACUACAAGAGGGCAUACACACUACUCAGACUAUGAUGAAAUUAAUGGCCUGAUUCUUCACCCUUGUUGGUAUCCACCAUCUCAGCCAUGCAACUUUGCACUGCUCUACUACUCAGCAGCAGGUCAAGUGCUGACCCAGCACCCCUUUGCACCAGUCUUUCAAACCCUGGCCACACUAACUAAUCAACCUGAUUGCUGUUUAUACCAAGAUCUAGACCAUGCAAAGCAACCUGAAUUCAUUUUCAUCCCUGCUGAUGUCAGUGCCUGGUGGAACCAAUCUGGAAAAAGCAUGAAUGAUAAUAUGUGGUAUCCACAGCCAGAGAAGAAGCAACAUACGACUUCACCUGCUGGUGAGACAACUGGUCUGUAAAAACUGUGGAGAUAUCUUUUGCUCAGGGACACAUAACAACCAGAUAUGUGAAUAUGCCAGUGAAGAGGACAAAACAUGACAAUCCCCAGGCUGGAAGGUCACAGGUUCUAACCUGACUGUCUAUAAAUAAUACUGGUCUUUUUAUCUUGUGUGGUAAUAAGGUAUACAAAUGGUUCCCACUCAAAUGGUUAGGAUGCUAUAGUCUUGGCUAUCUGACACGCUCUAUUACCAAGUAUUCCACUUUAAAUUCCAGUCAAAUUACAAUCUUGGGCUCUGUUGCUCAUAAGGUUGUACCUUAUGAACAUACAAAAUGUGACAUUAUAAAAAAUCCCCUUGUAUAUCAUAACUCAAAGUUCUUUUCAAUGCUCAGGAUCCUUUAUUCAGCAUUUGGAACUUAACAGAAUUGAAA